AGCGUAUAUUAAAGUUGUUGCAGUUAAAAAGCUCGUAGUUGAAUUUCGGGAUCAAGUCGUCGGUCGUGCUCAGGUACGUACUGGCGUCAUUGAUUUCUCCCUCCUGACGAACCAUGAUGUCAUUAAUUUGGUGUUAUGGGAAAUCAGGACUGUUACUUUGAAAAAAUUAGAGUGUUUAAAGCAGGCUCACGCUUGAAUACAUUAGCAUGGAAUAAUGAAAUAGGACGUUCGAUCCUAUUUUGUUGGUUUUAGGAUCAACGUAAUGAUUAAUAGGGAUAGUUGGGGGCAUUAGUAUUCAAUUGUCAGAGGUGAAAUUCUUGGAUUUAUUGAAGACUAACUACUGCGAAAGCAUUUGCCAAGGAUGUUUUCAUUAAUCAAGAACGAAAGUUAGGGGAUCGAAGACGAUCAGAUACCGUCGUAGUCUUAACCAUAAACUAUGCCGACUAGGGAUCGGAUGAUGUUAAUUUUUUAAUGACUCAUUC
rnacentral:rRNA from 1 species